GGGUAAUAUAGUAAUAGUGUUGCAGAGAGAGGUAAUAUAGCAAUAGUGUUGCAGAGAGAGAGAGAGGUAAUAUAGUAAUAGUGUUGCAGAGAGAGAGAGAGAGGUAAUAUAGUAAUAGUGUUGCAGGGAGAGAGGUAAUAUAGUAAUAGUGUUGCAGAGAGAGAGAGAGGUAAUAUAGUAAUAGUGUUGCAGAGAGAGAGAGAGGUAAUAUAGUAAUAGUAUUGCAGAGAGAGAGAGGUAAUAUAGUACUAGUGUUGCAGAGAGAGAGAGAGAGAGAGAGCGAGAGAGGUAAUAUAGUAAUAGUGUUGCAGAGAGAGAGAGGUAAUAUAGUAAUAGUGGUGCAGAGAGAAAGAGGUAAUAUAGUAAUAGUGUUGCAGAGAGAGAGAGGUAAUAUAGUAAUAGUGUUGCAGAGAGAAAGAGGUAAUAUAGUAAUAGUGUUGCAGAGAGAGAGAGGUAAUAUAGUAAUAGUGGUGCAGAGAAAGAGAAAGAGGUAAUAUAGUAAUAGUGUUGCAGAGAGAGAGAGAGAGAGAGGUAAUAUAGUAAUCGUGUUGACGAGAGAGGUAAUAUAGUAAUCGUGUUGACGAGAGAGAGGUAAUAUAGUAAUAGUGUUGCAGAGAGAGAGAGAGAGAGGUAAUAUAGUAAUCGUGUUGCCGAGAGAGAGGUAAUAUAGUAAUAGUGUUGAGAGAGAGAGAGGUAAUAUAGUAAUAGUGUUGCAGAGAGAGAG
ensembl:lncRNA